UACAGAGGUCUCAAGCGUUGUUCGGAAUCACUGGGCGUAAAGGGUGCGUAGGCCGUGCGGUAAGUCAGAGGUGAAAUCCCGGAGCUCAACUUCGGAAUUGCCUCCGAUACUGCCGUGCUUGAGGACUGGAGAGGAGAUUGGAAUUCACAGUGGAGCAGUGAAAUGCGUAGAUAUUGUGAGGAACACUAGUGGCGAAGGCGAAUCUCUGGACAGUUCCUGACGCUGAGGCACGAAGGCCAGGGGAGCAAACGGG
rnacentral:rRNA from 1 species